rnacentral:rRNA from 1 species
GACGAACGCUGGCGGCGCGCUUAACACAUGCAAGUCGAACGGAAAGGCCUGCUUUCCCUUGUGGAUUGCGGGUACUCGAGUGGCGAACGGGUGAGUAACACGUGAGUGAUCUGCCCCCAACUUGGGUAUAAGCCUGGGAAACUGGGUCUAAUUCCCGAUAGGACUGCAGGGUGGUGCCUGUGGUGGAAAACGAUUUUCUAGUGGUUGGGGAUGAGCUCGCGGCCUAUCAGCUUGUUGGUGGGGUAAUGGCCUACCAAGGCGGCGACGGGUAGCCGGCCUGAGAGGGUGGACGGCCACAUUGGGACGGAGAUACGGCCCAGACUCCUACGGGAGGCAGCAGUGGGGAAUAUUGCACAAUGGGCGGAAGCCUGAUGCAGCGACGCCGCGUGGGGGAUGACGGCCUUCGGGUGGUAAACUCCUUUCGACCGCGAGGAAGCCACCUGGUUGGAAGGGUGGUGACGGUAGUGGUAGAAGAAGCACCGGCUAACUACGUG